rnacentral:rRNA from 1 species
UACGUAGGGAGCAAGCGUUGUCCGGAAUCAUUGGGCGUAAAGCGCGCGUAGGUGGCCCUGUAAGUCCGUUGUGAAAGUCAAAGGCUCAACCUUUGAAAGCCGAUGGAUACUGCAGGACUAGAGUACGGAAGAGGCAAGUGGAAUUCCCGGUGUAGCGGUGAAAUGCGCAGAUAUCGGGAGGAACACCAAUGGCGAAGGCAGCUUGCUGGGACGGUACUGACGCUGAGGCGCGAAAGCGUGGGGAGCAAACAGG